rnacentral:rRNA from 1 species
UACGUAGGUGACAAGCGUUGUCCGGAUUUACUGGGCGUAAAGAGCGCGCAGGCGGUCGAUCAAGUCGAGUGUGAAAGCCCCCGGCUCAACUGGGGAGGGUCAUUCGAUACUGAUCGACUCGAAGGCAGGAGAGGGUAGUGGAAUUCCCGGUGUAGUGAUGAAAUGCGUAGAUAUCGGGAGGAACACCAGUGGCGAAGGCGACUACCUGGCCUGUUCUUGACGCUGAGGCGCGAAAGCUAGGGGAGCAAACGGG